CUUAAAUAUAUUGUUGGCAUUCCACAAAUGACUUCAUCUUCUUCCUCUGAUUCUCUGUAAGAUUUCUAGGGUUAAAAGAAAAAGGGAAAAAGAACCAGAGCCACUGAUCCUCUGAUUUCAAGUGGUCCUUCCAAAUCCCUACCAACAUUAUCAAGUAUAUAAAAGCAAAUAAAGCAGUUCUGACGACUCUACCACAGAUAUAAUUCAAAUCUCGUGGCGAAAACCAGCAGGUGUACUUGAUUGAGUCUUCACCAUGGCUGGUGGACCCGAACACGUACCAUCUCUAAAACAUCACAAUUAUGUGUGCCUUCUUUCGUACAUGGAAGGUCAAGGUCUAAUCAAUGGAAGAAGACGUGUAUUGUUCAACAGAGACCCCACUUCAUAUAGUAAAGUGAAUUACGGGCCGUUAGUUUUUUUUUUCUUUUUUCUUUUUUCUAAAGGGGACUGUUCAAAAAGCAAAGUAGUAGCAGUGGAGAAAUGGAUGAGUGCCGUUGGAUUUUUGUUGGUCUCUGAAAGAUUUCUUCCAUUUACGUACGUGAACAGUGUACACAAAGUGACAAAAUGGUAAAUAUUCGGCAACGAGUUGGUGGUGAUGGUUUUUUAGCUUUUAAUAAUUGUUUUCAGCGUAUGAGUUUAAUUGGAGAAAUUCGAAGCAUCAGGAAGGAGAAAAGGUUAAAAACAAAACGACCAAAAGACAAGGACAAGAUUGUGCACAUCAACUGUUUGAUGAAAUCACUGUGCGAGUUUUCAAGUCUAUGAACCCAGAUCAGACAAAGUUAAUUUCGGUUAUCUGUACUUUAAUUACAGGCUAGUAUCCUGUAUCCGUUUUGGAGCCUCAUACAAUCCAUCCGAUAAUUGGAUUUCCCGAAUGCAACAACAGAAGAAAACAUUGGGAUCAAGGCCACCAGGGUGUGUAAACAAGUGCAUGAAUUGUACACCAUGCCGAGCCACUCUGGUUAUCCCUCCACACCAUCGGAUGACUGAUUACAGAGAUCAAUCUUCUCACCGUGAAGACGAUUGCUACUAUCUCCUUUCAUGGAAAUGCAAAUGCGGUGAUAAACUCUUUCAACCUUAAUCGUAAUUAGUUUCGUUUUUCACCCAUGCUUAGUGACGGAUUUCGGUGCUUGAUUAGAUAUAAACUUUCUUUGUGAAAGAUAGUGUAUAAAGUAUUCUAUACCACUUCAAAUGCUGGCUGUUGCUGCUAUUUUCACCCUCUUUGUGAUUAAUAUAAAUAUCUAUUUUGAGU